rnacentral:rRNA from 1 species
GUUUGAUCCUGGCUCAGGAAUGAACGCUAGCGACAGGCCUAACACAAUGCAAGGUCGAGGGGCAGCACAUGAGUAGCAAUACGAUGGUGGCGACCGGCGCACGGGUGAGUAACACGUAUGCAACCUGCCUUCUACUAUGGGAUAACCCGUUGAAAGACGGACUAAUACCGUAUAAUACAGGGGCUCCGCAUGGAGAUAUUUGUUAAAGAUUUAUUGGUAGAAGAUGGGCAUGCGUAUGAUUAGAUAGUUGGUGAGGUAACGGCUCACCAAGUCAACGAUCAUUAGGGGUUCUGAGAGGAAGGUCCCCCACACUGGUACUGAGACACGGACCAGACUCCUACGGGAGGCAGCAGUGAGGAAUAUUGGUCAAUGGACGAGAGUCUGAACCAGCCAAGUCGCGUGAAGGAAGACGGUUCUAUGAAUUGUAAACUUCUUUUGUGCAGGAAUAAAGUGGGUUACGUGUAACCUUUUGUAUGUACUGUACGAAUAAGGAUCGGCUAACUCCGUGCCAGCAGCCGCGGUAAUACGGAGGAUCCGAGCGUUAUCCGGAUUUAUUGGGUUUAAAGGGUGCGUAGGUGGAUUGAUAAGUCAGCGGUGAAAGUUUGCAGCUUAACUGUAAAAUUGCCGUUGAAACUGUCGGUCUUGAGUGCAAAUGAGGUAGGCGGAAUGUGUUGUGUAGCGGUGAAAUGCUUAGAUAUUACACAGAACACCAAUUGCGUAGGCAGCUUACUGAGCCGACACUGACGCUGAGGCACGAAAGCGUGGGGAUCGAACAGGAUUAGAUACCCUGGUAGUCCACGCCGUAAACGAUGAUUACUCGCUGUUGGCGAUACACUGUCAGCGGCUAAGCAAAAGCAAUAAGUAAUCCACCUGGGGAGUACGGCCGCAAGGUUGAAACUCAAAGGAAUUGACGGGGGCCCGCACAAGCGGAGGAACAUGUGGUUUAAUUCGAUGAUACGCGAGGAACCUUACCUGGGCUUAAAUGUAGAGUGCAUUUUCUAGAGAUAGGAAUUCCCUUCGGGGCUUUCUGCAAGGUGCUGCAUGGUUGUCGUCAGCUCGUGCCGUGAGGUGUCGGGUUAAAUCCCAUAACGAGCGCAACCCUUAUCGUUAGUUGCCAUCUGGUAAAGCAGGGGACUCUAGCGAAACUGCCACCGUAAGGUGAGAGGAAGGUGGGGAUGACGUCAAAUCAGCACGGCCCUUAUGUCCAGGGCUACACACGUGUUACAAUGGCCGGUACAGAGGGCAGCUACCUGGUGACAGGAUGCUAAUCUCGAAAACCGGUCUCAGUUCGGAUCGAAGUCUGCAACUCGACUUCGUGAAGCUGGAUUCGCUAGUAAUCGCGCAUCAGCCAUGGCGCGGUGAAUACGUUCCCGGGCCUUGUACACACCGCCCGUCAGGCCAUGGAAGCUGGGGGUGCCUGAAGUCCGUAACCGAAAGGAGCGGCCUAGGGUAAAACUAGUGACUGGGGCUAAGUCGUAACAAGGUAGCCG